CCCUUAGAUGUCCUGGGCUGCACGCGUGCUACAAUGAUACGUGCAACGAGUUAAUCCUGCUCUGAAAGGAGUGGGUAAUCUUAUGAAUGCGUAUCGUGCUUGGGAUUGACCAUUGUAAUUAUUGGUCAUGAACGAGGAAUUCCUAGUAAGCACAAGUCAUCAGCUUGUGCUGAUUACGUCCCUGCCCUUUGUACACACCGCCCGUCGCUCUUACCGAUUGAGUGUUCCGGUGAAUUAUUCGGACUGCAACAGUUAUCUGUCGCGGAAAGUCUUGUGAACCUUAACACUUAGAGGAAGGAAAAGUCGUAACA
rnacentral:rRNA from 1 species